CCUACGGGAGGCAGCAGUGGGGAAUAUUGCACAAUGGGCGAAAGCCUGAUGCAGCAACGCCGCGUGAGCGAUGAAGGCCUUCGGGUUGUAAAGCUCUGUCCUCAAGGAAGAUAAUGACGGUACUUGAGGAGGAAGCCCCGGCUAACAACGUGCCAGCAGCCGCGGUAAUACGAGGGGGGCUAGCGUUAUCCGGAAGUACUGGGCGAAAAGGGUGCGUAGGGGGGUUCUUAAGUCAGAGGUGAAGGGCUACGGCUCAACCGUAGUAAGCCUUUGAAACUGGGAAACUUGAGUGCAGGAGAGGAGAGUGGAAUUCCUAGUGUAGCGGUGAAAUGCGUAGAUAUUAGGAGGAACACCAGUUGCGAAGGCGGCUCUCUGGACUGUAACUGACGCUGAGGCACGAAAGCGUGGGGAGCAAACAGGAUUAGAUACCCGUGUAGUC
rnacentral:rRNA from 1 species